UACGUAGGGUGCGAGCGUUAAUCGGAAUUACUGGGCGUAAAGCGUGCGCAGGCGGUUUUUUAAGCCAGGUGUGAAAUCCCCGGGCUUAACCUGGGAAUGGCAUUUGGGACUGCAAGGCUGGAGUUUGGCAGAGGAGACUGGAAUUCCCGGUGUAGCAGUGAAAUGCGUAGAUAUCUGGAGGAACACCGGUGGCGAAGGCGGCAUCCUGGACCAAUACUGACGCUGAGGAGCGAAAGCUAGGGGAGCAAACGGG
rnacentral:rRNA from 1 species